AGUGCGGGCCUGGCCUUCGUGGGGAGAGGAUGUGCUGCUGUGCUCCUCCCUCAGCCCCUUAGACCCGUGAAAAAAGGGGCCUGGCGGACGCAGUGAGAGGGAGAGGAACUCUGACUGGGAAAGAAAAGAAAAUUGGAGUCACAUGGUGAUUUGAAAGACAGAUGAGUAGUUGACAAAUGGACACCUUACUCUAAGACAUCACUUGAGGCUGGAAAUUAGUGGACAACAAAAUAAUGAUAAAAUAGAAUGGAAUAACAGACUAUUUCAAUCAAAGGGGCAUUGUGUGUUAUGGAAAGCGAGAUUUUUUUGGCAGUGAUAAAUGAACGUGUGAUUAAAAUAGAUGAAAUGAAUUUGUAGAGAAAAGGAGAUUAAGUUGAGAUUAAAGUAACAAGGAUAGAUUGAUAAAAGUAAGAGAAGAUACAAGAAAGGAAGUGGAAUAGAUUGAUGGAAAGCAAUAAAGAAUAAACAUCAAAUACAAAUACCAGAUAAGAUAAAUUGA